rnacentral:rRNA from 1 species
AACGAACGCUGGCGGCGUGCUUAACACAUGCAAGUCGAACGAUGAAGUUCCUUCGGGAAUGGAUUAGUGGCGAACGGGUGAGGAACACGUGAGAAACCUGCCUUUCAUUUUGGGAUAACUCCGGGAAACCGGGGCUAAAACCGUAUACUCCGUCUUGGCGGCAUCGCUAAGCCGGGAAAAACUUUUGAUGAAAGAUGGUCUCGCGGCCUAUCAGCUAGUUGGUGAGGUAAUGGCUCACCAAGGCGACGACGGGUAGCCGGCCUGAGAGGGCGACCGGCCACACUGGGACUGAGACACGGCCCAGACUCCUACGGGAGGCAGCAGUGGGGAAUAUUGGCAAUGGGCGCAAGCCUGACCCAGCGACGCCGCGUGAGGGAUGAAGGCCUUCGGGUUGUAAACCUCUUUCAGUAGGGAAGAAGCGAAAGUGACGGUACCUAAAGAAGAAGCACCGGCUAACUAUGUGCCAGCCGCCGCUGUAA